CAGAGGGCUCAGCUGCUCCAAGCACGGGGUGGCAUUGGCCACAGGCAGGGUGAGGAUCAGGAGCAAAACCUAGUCCAUCCUGACUGACCCAAGAGACCAUGCAGGUGACAAGUAUAAGAAGGAGUGGGUUUCAGCUCAUCCAUCCCUCUAUUAAUUUAUCUAUCCUCCAAUCAAGCCAUCUAUCCAUCUGUCCAUCCGUCCGUCCAUCCAUCCAUCCAUCCAUCCAUCCAUCCAUCCAUCCAUCCAUCCAUCCAUCCAUCCCCAUGAUCAUCUAGGUGAGUACUUGCUCUGGGCCAGACCUUGUGUCAGUUGCUAGGAUACAGUGAUAAACAGUUCAUGAUCCCUGCCCUGAAAGUGUUCUCAGUCUGGUUAACAGCUAUUCAAAUAAACACCGGCAUCUCCUCAGCAAUAUCAUGCUGUAGUGAAUGUGAAAGUUGUUUCAUGAAUCCAGAGGAUUAACUGACUCCAACUCAAAUGUCACCUCUCUAGAACACUUUCUCUGAUUCCACUGUGUGGCAUGGGAAUUUGAGGGGCAGAGAAGAGGGUGAAGAGCAUUUCUGGCACAUGGACCAGGUGCUGCCAGGCCAGAGUUCUGCAAAUACGUAGCAUGUUCAAGGC